GCUGUGAUGGCCGAGUGGUCAAGGCGUUGGACUCGAAAUCCAAUGGGGGCUCCCCGCGCAGGUUCAAAUCCUGCUCACAGCG
rnacentral:tRNA from 1 species